rnacentral:rRNA from 1 species
UGCCUAUACAUGCAGUCGAACGAGUUCUCGUUGAUGAUCGGUGCUUGCACCGAGAUUCAACAUGGAACGAGUGGCGGACGGGUGAGUAACACGUGGGUAACCUGCCCUUAAGUGGGGGAUAACAUUUGGAAACAGAUGCUAAUACCGCAUAGAUCCAAGAACCGCAUGGUUCUUGGCUGAAAGAUGGCGUAAGCUAUCGCUUUUGGAUGGACCCGCGGCGUAUUAGCUAGUUGGUGAGGUAAUGGCUCACCAAGGCGAUGAUACGUAGCCGAACUGAGAGGUUGAUCGGCCACAUUGGGACUGAGACACGGCCCAAACUCCUACGGGAGGCAGCAGUAGGGAAUCUUCCACAAUGGACGCAAGUCUGAUGGAGCAACGCCGCGUGAGUGAAGAAGGCUUUCGGGUCGUAAAACUCUGUUGUUGGAGAAGAAUGGUCGGCAGAGUAACUGUUGUCGGCGUGACGGUAUCCAACCAGAAAGCCACGGCUAACUACGUGCCAGCAGCCGCGGUAAUACGUAGGUGGCAAGCGUUAUCCGGAUUUAUUGGGCGUAAAGCGAGCGCAGGCGGUUUUUUAAGUCUGAUGUGAAAGCCCUCGGCUUAACCGAGGAAGCGCAUCGGAAACUGGGAAACUUGAGUGCAGAAGAGGACAGUGGAACUCCAUGUGUAGCGGUGAAAUGCGUAGAUAUAUGGAAGAACACCAGUGGCGAAGGCGGCUGUCUGGUCUGUAACUGACGCUGAGGCUCGAAAGCAUGGGUAGCGAACAGGAUUAGAUACCCUGGUAGUCCAUGCCGUAAACGAUGAAUGCUAGGUGUUUGGAAGGGUUUCCGCCCUUCAGUGCCGCAGCUAACGCAUUAAGCAUUCCGCCUGGGGGAGUACGACCGCAAGGUUGAAACUCAAAGGAAUUGACGGGGGCCCGCACAAGCGGUGGAGCAUGUGGUUUAAUUCGAAGCAACGCGAAGAACCUUACCAGGUCUUGACAUCUUUUGAUCACCUGAGAGAUCAGGUUUCCCCUUCGGGGGCAAAAUGACA